AGCGAACGCUGGCGGCAGGCCUAACACAUGCAAGUCGAACGAAGUGGCGGACGGGUGAGUAACACGUGGGAACGUGCCUUUUGGUUCGGAAUAACUCAGGGAAACUUGUGCUAAUACCGAAUGCCAUUAGAGCGGCCCGCGUCUGAUUAGCUAGUUGGUGGGGUAACGGCUCACCAAGGCGACGAUCAGUAGCUGGUCUGAGAGGAUGACCAGCCACACUGGGACUGAGACACGGCCCAGACUCCUACGGGAUGCAGCAGUGGGGAAUCUUGCGAAAUGGGCGAAAGCCUGACGCAGCCAUGCCGCGUGAAUGAUGAAGGUCUUAGGAUUGGAAAAGUCUUUAACCGGGGAAGCGGUACCCGGAGAAGAAGCCCCGGCUAACUUCGUGCCAGCAGCAGCGGUAAUUC
rnacentral:rRNA from 1 species